UUUGGGCACAUGAUGAAUCUCAUAUCAUCAAAUGGGUAAUUUGCGUCUGAAUCAUCAUUGAUGCUAUUUUCACCUUGGAGAACUGAUGCCUAUU
rfam:Cucumis sativus cultivar 9930 chromosome 3, whole genome shotgun sequence.